CUGGUUCAUCUCCUGGAGCCUUCAAUCCAGGAGAUCCUCUCGACUGCGAGUCUCGAGGGUCUUCUGAUAGAGUGGAGGUAGGGAUCCUACGGGAGUGGAAUCGUGAUCAGACUGGGGGCUCUCCACCCUCGGAUUCUCUUUGUCGGGGAAGAUAGGACGACUGGCCCAAGUGGCCCGCCCCACUGUCAGAUCUUGGAGCUCCGACGAUGCUCUUUCCAACCACACUGACACCUACGGUUGUUGUUGCUGCUGCGCAUGGUUUGCACUACUUCAGUGAGGCCUCUGACAUGCUGAACCAGCAAGUC
rnacentral:lncRNA from 1 species